GACUACCGGGGUAUCUAAGCCCGUUCGCUCCCCACGCUCUCGCACCUCAGCGUCAGUGUUCGUCCAGGAGGCCGCCUUCGCCACCGACGUUCUUCCGGAUCUCUACGCAUUUCACCGCUCCACCAGGAAUUCCGCCUCCCCCUCCGACACUCGAGCCCAUCAGUUUGCACCGCGCUUCCUCGGUUAAGCCGAGGGCUUUCACGCUCCACUUGAUGCGCCGCCUACGCGCGCUUUACGCCCAGUCAUUCCGAACAACGCUUGCCCCCUCCGUCUUACCGCGGCUGCUGGCACGGAGUUAGCCGGGGCUUCCUCUCCGGGUACCGUCCUCGCGCACGGCUCUUCACCGUCCACGCCUUCGUCCCCGGUCACAGAGCUUUACACCCCGAAGGGCGUCUUCGCUCACGCGGCGUUGCUGCGUCAGGGUUGCCCCCAUUGCGCAAAAUUCCCCACUGCAGCCUCCCGUAGG
rnacentral:rRNA from 1 species